CCAUCAUUUCUAAAUCAAGUGCUAAACAUUAAAAAAGACUCUCUAGGCCAAAAACUAAGAAUAUACUGAUGCUUCUCAAAUGGUAACAAGGCACACUGGGAAUAGUACUGGCCUACAUCCGACAUUAUUUUUUUAUAGUUAUUUUAAAUAGAAAAUACACUUAGACGAGUGAAAACUCUGAACACUAUGAAAAGGUAGGUACUGAGAACUGUCAUUCCUUCCCAUCCCCAUCUACUCCGUUGCCUCUCACACUCUACAGGUAACCAUAUUUAUUCAUUUCUGAUUUCUCUUUCCAGUGAUUACUUAUGCAAAUACAAACAAAUAUGAAUAUAUAUUAUUCCCCUCCCUCCUUUUUACACAAAAGGAGGCAUGCCGUACACACCAUUCUGUGCUUUGGUUUGGUCACCUAGCAGUAUAUGCUGUAGUCUCUUCAGCCUGACAUCCUUUUAGGAUGUCAUCCCUGCCUGUAGAAAAGUGAACAUGAUUGCUGCUUCUAUUUAUUCACACAGAGAGUGUGCCCAAGCCUGAUACCUGGCUCUGGAUUAAAUGAACUGUGCUUUGUAUUUGCACUUCACAGCUGGCUAGAAAAGUCAACUCCUACAAUUGUCAAAGGUCAAGUUCAGAAUGUCUAGACACUUUCUUAAAUAUUCCGACUUGUUUUGAACUUCAAGGAAAAAUGAAACUUCAAAUAUUUUUCUUGAAAGAACACAGAGAAGAUGGGCUGGCCACAGAGUUUACUUACAUUUUCAUGAUUCCUUUUUUAAAUGCUUCACUCGGGGAAUUUUCAGACAAUCUUUGUUUUGUAUUCCUGCCCUUUGUUAUACAUGGCUGCAACCCAGAACUGUCAGAGGAGAUUAAGUUUAUAAAAGAAGAGUUUCUACAUUUUUGAAAUAUUUUGACUAAGUGAAAUCAUUUUUUUUUCUAUCUGCAAUGCAAUUCAGCUCAGUUCGACAGAUAUUUACUGGGCCUUGUGCAAACCACUGAGCUUUAAUAGAUGAAUGAGACAUUGCUCCUGGCUUCAGGUGAACACAAAUAAUGUCUCUUUACUGUGGAAACUGCUAUGGUACACAAGCAGGCACAGGCUGCUAGAGGAGGACAAAAGAAGAAUGCUGAGCUCUGCCUCAUUAGAGAAAAUGAGCUAAGUCAUGAAGACCAGUAAAAGCUGAGCAGAAAAAGAAGGGCAGGAGCAGCAGAAGCAAAGGUCAUGAAGUUUCAUGAACACGCAAAGAGAUGGGGUGUCCCUAUGUUGUCCGAGCUGAUCUUGAGGUCCUGGCUCCUGGCCUCAAGAGAUCCUCCUGCCUCAGCCUCCCAAAGUGUCUGGAUUACAGGUGUGAGCCACCAGGUAAUCCACCUGUGGAUUACAGGUGAGCACCCAGCCUUCCUGAUUUUCAAAAGCUCAGAGGAUCCAGAACGGCUGUUCCUGUCCAUGUGCCUGGUCACGGUGCUGGGGAACCUGCUCAUCAUCCUGGCCGUC